rnacentral:rRNA from 1 species
UACGUAGGAUCCGAGCGUUGUCCGGAAUUACUGGGUGUAAAGGGCGUGUAGGUGGGUCUUUAAGUCGGUGGUGAAAUCCUGCAGCUCAACUGCAGAACUGCUUCCGAUACUGAAGACCUUGAGUACGGCAGAGGGAGAUGGAAUUCAUGGUGUAGCGGUGAAAUGUGUAGAUAUCAUGAAGAACACCGGUAGCGAAGGCGGUCUCCUGGUCCGUAACUGACACUGAGGCGCGAAAGCAUGGGGAGCAAACAGG